rnacentral:rRNA from 1 species
UACGUAGGGUGCAAGCGUUAAUCGGAAUUACUGGGCGUAAAGCGUGCGCAGGCGGUCGUGCAAGACAGAUGUGAAAUCCCCGGGCUUAGCCUGGGAACUGCAUUUGUGACUGCACGGCUGGAGUGCGGCAGAGGGGGAUGGAAUUCCGCGUGUAGCAGUGAAAUGCGUAGAUAUGCGGAGGAACACCGAUGGCGAAGGCAAUCCCCUGGGCCUGCACUGACGCUCAUGCACGAAAGCGUGGGGAGCAAACAGG